rnacentral:lncRNA from 1 species
CAUCAUUAAUGACGUUUUUAUGUUGCGCUAUCCUUUGUAAAUCUAUCGCCUCAAACAUAGUGAGGCCUCUAGAGCCAUUAACAUAUCAUAUUAGUCUGGCAUUCAGCCAGUCUAUCAUUACAUCUUGUUCAUAUACUCUGGUUGAUAGGGCAGUGGUUAGUCUACCUGCCGCUAUAUCUGCCUUAUGUUCACGUAUUUUUUUCUAGGCUCCUAGCCGUACGGCCAAUGUAACACUGCUCUACCUGUUCAUCAUUAUUGUAUAGCGGAAUAGAAUAUAUUCUCGAUCUUCGAUCCAUCGGGAUGUGCCCCUUUUCAUUUUGUAAUAAGUUAAAGAGUGUGGGGCCCCUCUUUCGUGCCAUGCGGUAUUUCCCUUCAUUCCUAUUUCUACCUAAAAUUUUAUGUGGUUGUAUAAUAAGUGAUCUCAGCAAAGGGUCGGGUAUCUAUAUUGUGUCCCUGGUCCAGAUGGUUCACUAUCCUACCGCUCAAGCUCUUAGUAACUUUGGACCAUACCACC